AGUACAACGCCUUUUUGAAACAGAUAUAUUUUCACGGACAAAAAUGAAACAAACCAGAUUAAUUGGUAGAUGAACACUCUAAGAUCAAUUGUAUGAACCAUUCGGAUAAGCAGAAUUAAUUGUCUACCACUUGUACAAAUACCACAAUAUCCGAAGCAAUCAAACAAUUGUAACUAAUCAUACAUUGAAUAAUAUCAGUUAAGUUAAUAACUUCAGUAUGAAAUUGCAAGCCUGUAUCUGAAACUUAGCAAUACGACGACGCAAAGCAGUUGGUAUCGUAAGGAGAGUGAUGGAAGUUAAAGAGCUGGAGAGGACACGUAAAAAGUAGACAGAAAAUAGCAACCGAAUUACGAUCAAGGCUUGAACGGUAAAAUGCGUGCAGGGAAUGGAAAUAUAUAAAUGCAUUAAGAUAAUCCCCGGCAACGCUGUGAACCCGAGGGCCGUGCAACGAAUUCCCAACUUUGUAAAUACGAAACAAAACUAAAAUACUGAAUUGGGGAAUAAAACUAGUUCAAGCAAAAUGUAGGUAAAUAAACGAUACAAGUGUUUAAAGUUAUUUAUUUAAGUGUCAAGUGUGGUAAUUAUUAAAUUCUCGAUAACACAUACAUAAUUUAUUGUGAAUGUGUUAUUACUGUGUUAUUACAGGUGUGAAUAUAUUCAAAUUUGAUAUAAAAAUAUUUAUAAAUUAAAGGGAGAUUUUCUUUAUUACUAGAUAUACAAU